UAAUUUUCAAUGCAGGGUCAUAAAACCAGUCGCAGCCAUAAGAAAUGUUAUGUGCUAACUUCUACUCUUUACUCGCACUUUGCUUUCUUCUCUCAUAUUUAUGCCUUGUCGCUCUUUAUGUAACUUUGCCUGUUGAUCUUCAACCCUUCUGUUCUAUUCUUGAUUGGAGAGGAAGUUGCACAUAUUUAUUGAAGCAGAAUUCAAUGCUGGGCUCUAGGUGCGAGUUUCACACCUGCAUGUGGAAUCUAACAGAAAAAGUUGAAGGGCCCAUAAAUUAUUUGGAGAAAGUCGAAGGACAUAUCUAAUAAGCCUAUAGAUUAGCCCAAUAAACCACCCAAUAAAUCACAGGAAAUGAGUCAAGUCUGCGAAUAAAACUUCCUCAAAGUCAAAGCAUGUCCUGACAACGGCAUCCCGACCGCAGCAAUGUUGCAGAAGCGUAGCGCACACCAUCUGGUUCCCCUCCAGGUUAACAUUGUUAGCUGUCUUUCAAAAAGAAACACAAACACGGGGAACCUGCUUCCACUAGUUAAUGAUGUUGGGAGAUGUUUUUCAAAGCAGACAUUUUGGCUUGUCGGAGCAGGAGAAGCUCAGCUGCGCUGGUAUUAUUGAUAUUAUUAAAACUGACUCAUUUAGAUGAGCAUGUUUCAGGGUCCUGGUAUUGGGCUCCCUCACAGUCCUGGCUGGAAACUAGAUGGAACUGAGCCUUCAUAUACAGUAUAUCAUUUCCUAAUUAGUUAAGAGAAUAAAACAUACUAAAUAGAUACAUAUGAAAAUGUUAAUUACACAUUAUAUUAAUGUAUGGUACAAUAUGUCUAAGCAUUUAAAAGAAUGCAUUACAACGUGUCUGUAUGCUAUGAUCCUUUCAAGAGUCUUACUCCACUACACAUCAAAAUGAAGUAUGACCAAGUUGCACACUGAAAUUUAAAGCUGGACAUUCGAUCAAUCAUUGAUCAGUAAAUCACUAAUCGCAGAGACAAAUUGUUGCUCAUUAAAGCAGCCGGAAUCACACAGUAACCAGGUAUUAUUUCCUCUCUGUGCAUUAAAAACCCAGAGCUCCUAGUCUGACCGUAUCUGAGAGGAGCUGAGAGGCCACUGGUUUGUCACAAACUGGGUAGAAUAAACUACAUUUGACUAGAAUGCAUAUCAGUUGUUCCUGUUACUGUAUUCUUCUUGUGUUCCUGUCUCCCUACAGGAACCUGCCAUACAUGUUGGACCUUAUUUGGGCUUUUGCUUUUCAUGAUCGCCAUUGGAGUCCCUGCAUUGUGGUACUCGUAUAAAACCGGGAUAUUUCUAAGGAGAGGAGAGGACACACAUGGCGGGAGGUUGAAGGUCCCAACAGCUUCUAGCACACGUGAAGAAGCAGCAGCAGCAGAGCUACAACCUGAGGCAUCUCAUUGAUAUGCGUGGAAGCAACAAGCUGGAAGACAGUUAGCUUAUUGUGCAGGCCGCUAACAUUCCUGACGCAGCUGGUUACUGAACAGAUGCAGCUCUACAAGACAACAUCUACUGCUAAUAUCAAUGAUGCCAUUAAAUGCCAUGCAACAGAAGUAACAAAAUGAAGAUUGAAAACUGUAAGUACAGUUGUCAAGCAAAAGUUGUAACAGUGUUAUCUAUUAGGGCGUGGCUUUAACCGUUUGUGGCAGCUUCAUCAUUUACAACAUGUUUUCCCACCAACAGCAUUAACUGCUGAUGAUAACAGGAUUAUGAAGCAUGUUUUCAUGCACACAAGAAACUAGGUGACUGGCCAAGAAAUGAUUCAUGAGAAAUUUGAAUAGAAAAACUUGAGAUUAUGGAAUGAAAACCUGCGAGUAUCGUGAAAAGAACACGUGCAAAUAGACAAAACACAGAUAAAUUAAGCAACACAUUUCUCUACUUGCGUUUGUUUUCACUAAUUGCAGUGCUUCUAAAUU